rnacentral:SRP_RNA from 1 species
GUCACGUGGCCUGGGGGUCACGUGACCUCGACCUUUUGGAGGGGAAAAUUUUUCGCUAGAUUUAGCGGGAAAAUUUUUCCGCUAAAUUUAGCGGGGAAAAUUUCCCGCUAAAUCUAGCGGGGAAAAUUUUCCGCUAAAUUUAGCGGGGAAAUUUUCCGCUAAAUUUAGCGGGGAAAAUUUUCCGCUAAAUUU